CAGGUACUCCUACGGGAGGCAGCAGUAAGGAAUAUUGGACAAUGGCCGCAAGGCUGAUCCAGCCAUGCCGCGUGCAGGAUGAAGGUGCUCUGCAUUGUAAACUGCUUUUGUUUGGGAAUAAACCCCUCUACGUGUAGAGGGCUGAAUGUACCAAAAGAAUAAGGGUCGGCUAACUUCGUGCCAGCAGCCGCGGUAAUACGAAGGACCCAAGCGUUAUCCGGAUUUAUUGGGUUUAAAGGGUGCGUAGGCGGGUUAUUAAGUCAGUGGUGAAAGCCUUCAGCUUAACUGGAGAAUUGCCAUUGAUACUGAUGAUCUUGAGUAUGAUUGAGGUGGGCGGAAUGUGUCAUGUAGCGGUGAAAUGCUUAGAUAUGACACAGAACACCGAUUGCGAAGGCAGCUCACUAAGCCAUAACUGACGCUGAUGCACGAAAGCGUGGGGAGCAAACAGGAUUAGAUACCCUGGUAGUCCACGCCCUAAACGAUGAUCACUCGAUGUGUGCGAUACACUGUACGCGUCUGAGCGAAAGCAUUAAGUGAUCCACCUGGGGAGUACGACCGCAAGGUUGAAACUCAAAGGAAUUGACG
rnacentral:rRNA from 1 species